rnacentral:misc_RNA from 1 species
UGAGUUCUUGAGGGUGAG